rnacentral:rRNA from 1 species
UAAGGGCGCACGGUGGAUGCCUUGGCACUAGAAGCCGAUGAAGGACGUUACUAACGACGAUAUGCUUUGGGGAGCUGUAAGUAAGCUUUGAUCCAGAGAUUUCCGAAUGGGGAAACCCAGCAUGAGUUAUGUCAUGUUAUCGAUAUGUGAAUACAUAGCAUAUCAGAAGGCACACCCGGAGAACUGAAACAUCUUAGUACCCGGAGGAAGAGAAAGAAAAUUCGAUUCCCUUAGUAGCGGCGAGCGAAACGGGAAGAGCCCAAACCAACAAGCUUGCUUGUUGGGGUUGUAGGACACUCUAUACGGAGUUACAAAGGACGACAUUAGACGAAUCAUCUGGAAAGAUGAAUCAAAGAAGGUAAUAAUCCUGUAGUCGAAAAUGUUGUCUCUCUUGAGUGGAUCCUGAGUACGACGGAGCACGUGAAAUUCCGUCGGAAUCUGGGAGGAC